rnacentral:SRP_RNA from 1 species
CCGUGCUAAGCGGGGAGGUAGCGGUGCCCUGUACUCGCAAUCCGCUCGAGCGAGGCCGAAUUCCUUUUAGAGGUUUACCUAUUGUAGGGUCUGACCUUAGUAAGUGGUGUUGACGUCUGGGUCCUGCGCAACGAGAUCCCACGAACCCUGUCAGGUCCGGAAGGAAGCAGCAGUAAGUGGACAAUCUCGUGUGCCGCGGGGGCGCCUGGACCGAGCUAACUGCUAAGGUAACGCCUAUGAUAGUAAAUCGACGAAAGGUGCACGG